rnacentral:scRNA from 14 species
AGGGAAUUAUAAAUCUGAAGUAGCAUUGGUUUUUUAUUGGCUAUCAUUUUAGAAAUGUCAUGCAAAUCUAAAACUUCAACAUUUUUAAAAACUCUGUUUGUGUGUGUGUGUGUGUGUGUGUGUGUGUGUGUGUGUGAGGGGGAGGGGGAGACUGGGUUUUCAGAUCCAGGAGCUGGACUUCUAGGCUGCUGUAUAUAUGCCACUGUGCAGGGAACUGAGCUAAGGCACUCUGGGAUAGCAGCAUAACCCCUUAACCACUGACCUGUCUUCAGCACUCAGAUUUCAAAUCUUUCACACACACCCCGAGUCCUA